rnacentral:ncRNA from 1 species
UUAGGCAAAGCAUUCGAAAGAAUGUGACGCAAAACUAUAGGGACUUCAAGCUUAAGUCAGCCAGUUGCCG